rnacentral:rRNA from 1 species
UACGGAGGGUGCAAGCGUUAUCCGGAAUCACUGGGUUUAAAGGGUGCGUAGGCUGUUCGGUAAGUCAGUUGUGAAAUUCCCCGGCUUAACCGGUGGGACUGCGAUUGAUACUGUCGGACUUGAAUCAGGUUGAGGUAGGCGGAAUGUGGCAUGUAGCGGUGAAAUGCAUAGAUAUGCCAUAGAACACCGAUUGCGAAGGCAGCUUGCUGGACCUAGAUUGACGCUGAGGCACGAAAGCGUGGGGAGCAAA